rnacentral:rRNA from 1 species
CGUGAGUAACCUGCCUUGGAGUGGGGAAUAACAGUUGGAAACAGCUGCUAAUACCGCAUAAUAUGUCUGUGUCGCAUGGCACUGGGCAUCAAAGAUUUAUCGCUCUGAGAUGGACUCGCGUCUGAUUAGCUAGUUGGCGGGGUAACGGCCCACCAAGGCGACGAUCAGUAGCCGGACUGAGAGGUUGGCCGGCCACAUUGGGACUGAGACACGGCCCAGACUCCUACGGAAGGCAGCAG